rnacentral:lncRNA from 1 species
CCCUCCUCCAGGUGCUCGGAGCCUCUGGGACUCUAUCUCUUUGUCUCUCUCUCUCUCUCCUCUCUGUCUCUCUUCAUGUCUGCCUCCCUCGUUUCCUCUGUGUGUCUCUUGCUGUGUCUCCGUCUCUGGGUCUCAGCUGUCCACCACCCACCCCCAGCAUGAGGCAGAGGCAAGAACCCCCAGGCCCUGUCCCUCGUUCAUCUUUAAUUCAUGGCUGAUACGCCACUCGGUCUCUUUGAGCAAAAUGAAAACCUAAAAGGUAUCCUUUUGCAACUUUUCACGUGUUUGGGGAUUGAGCCAUGCGUUCCUCGGAGCUCAUUCCACCCUAUGCCACCCACCGCUGUCUGGGGGCCACUCCACGCGGAUGAGCAGGUGGUUUGUGGUCCCUGCGCUGCCUCCUUGCGCACGCGAACGCGUGUGUGGUUGCGCCCUCCGGGCUCUUGUGUGUUACAGUCACUGGUCG